AAACAUAAUAAUUGAUAUAAUGCAUAUAUAUAUGAAGAGUCAAUAAUAAUUCACGAGUCCAGAGAUCUUAGGAAAUAAAGCAAGCAUAAUGUCAUAGGAAACGAUAAAAAUAGACAUGAAUAAUAAGUAAGGGAAAAUAGGGAAAUUCAAACGGUAUUUCUGGGUCCAUGAUAGCAUCAACGCUCGGGAUAUAGUGGAGUCUCC
rnacentral:lncRNA from 1 species